rnacentral:lncRNA from 1 species
CUUUGUUAUUCUGAGAGCAAGAGGAUUCACGCUCCAAGAAACCUGGGUGUGUAUUUUAGAGUGUUGCUGACAUGCCAAGAAAAUGAGUAAAUCAGGUUGCUAUGUGGAAUUGCUCAUAUUGCCGGAUCAUUUACUUAUUCAUUAAAAAAAAUGUACACAGCAAUUUUUUUUAAAAUGAUGCAGUUUACAACUAUACAAACAUAAUAAAAGACACAUAAAAAUUAAAAUCAGAAAUCAUUGUUAUCUCCAUUAGGCAUCAUUGUGGGACUGGUAGUUCUUGAUUCAAUUACCACAUAUUAAUAUUAUAUUUUUAGUGACAGCAGUAAUCAAUUCUAAGUUUAAAUGUGGAACAAGAGGGGAAAGAGAAAGAAAUAGCAACAGAUGGAAAAUUACCAUUUAGUGCAAGUGGUUUGGCCAGCCUAAUCAAUGCUAUAUCAUUCUUCAUUGUUUUGGGUUUAUAAUUUUUAUGGUAUAUAAUUUUGUCCACUAAAUAUGGAUUAGCAGGGCCUUCUUCCAGUAUUACAAAGCCCGCAUACACACUCCAAGCUCUUGGGAAGUACAAACUGAAACAAAGACAUUAGAAAAAGAAAGGGUUAGUGGCUUCCAACAUUUAAAAUCAUUUGCCAAACCUGUGUGACACAUUUUUGGCCUCAGUGUUAAAUCCAUUCUGGCACAAGAAGUCAUUUCCAGCAAUGACAGAAUUACACUAAGAUUCACAUUUCUAGAAAUCGUGUUUAAUUAUAGCAGCUUGUUAGGAUUUUUUUAUAUACUCAUCAGUGCUCAGCCAUGAUUAAUUUCAGAUCUGAAACCAAUGCUUAUUAGUAUCAAAUAUUUGAUAAAUCAAUUUCUAAUGCCCAGCUUGCCAGUAAAACAUUUAUUCUUAUUUUUAUCUGUAAGAUGCCUUGAGUCCAUGUCAGGGAAAAAGGCAGGGUAUAAAAUAGUAGUAGUAGUCAUACAGUAGUAGUAGUACCCUGCUGAUUUCAUUUUUUUCCUUCUGAUGAUGCAUCCCUCCACCUAUUGACAUUAAUUUGGUCAAUGCUACAUUAAAUUAUCUGUAAUCCUCUACAGUCUGCUUCCUGGGGAAUUUGUUGUUGCAAUCCAGCAAUGCUCCUGUUCUUGGCUAUUCUAUCGCAACACCCUGCUCCUUCACUGAUAGUGCUUUUUUUAUUAUUAUUAUUAUUUUUUUUGGUCUUUUUAAAGGUGUUCCUCAGUGUGUACCAUUACUAGGAUGGAAGGAUCUGACCAUUUCAGUGCUCUCAGUUUCUCAUUUUUCCAAUCUUGAAUUCAGUUCUCCACAUUUCUGCAGCAAUUUGUGAACCUUGCUGUAAAAAACGUCAUGAAAAUGUGAACUGAAAUUAAAUUCUCCCCAGGCCCUAACAUCUGUACCUGUUCAUAUUUAACCACAUCUCUUAUUGCAGAAGCUAAAACUGAUUUGUCAUGACCUUCCUGUGUCAAGAAAUUGCCCUUCUUUUCCCUAGCAUAGUAUUGUGCCCUUUACACAUCUCAAUAGUGACUAAUAAUAAUAAUAAUAAUAAAUUAUUUAUACCCCAGCCAUCUGUUUGGGUUUCCCUAGACACUCUGGGCAGCUCCCAACUGAACAUUAAAAGCACAAUAAAAUAUCAAACAUUAAAAACUUCCCGAAACAGAGCUGCCUUCAGAUGUCUUCUAAAAGCCAGAUAGUUGUUUAUUUCCUUGACAUCUGACAGGAGGGCGUUCCACAGGGCAGGCGCCAUCACCAAAAAGGCCCUCUGCCUGAUUCCCUGUAACCUCACAUCUCACUGCGAGAAGGCCCUCAGCGCUAGACCUCAGUGUCCAGGCAGAACAAUGGGGGUAGAGACACUCCUUCAGGUAUACUGGGCCAAGGCCAUUUAGGGCAUUAAAGGUCAGCACCAACACUUUGAAUUGUGCUCGGAAACGUACUGGGAGCCAAUGUAGGUCUUUCAGGACCAGUGUUAUAUGGUCUCAGUGGCCACUCCCAGUCACCAGUCUAGCUGCCACAUGUGAGAAACGUUACUACGGCUUUGCUCCCUGGCACUGCUGCGUCAUUUAAAAACCUGGCCACUAUGUGAGCAGGACACUUACUUCACAACUGUGGCCCAGCUAGGAUUGGAGUCAACAACUGGUUGGGAACAACCCACGCAAUAGGUGUCUGCUGCGCAAAAACAUGGCAAACGAGACAAGGCACUUACUCAUAAACACAGUGGGCUGCUGUUACAAUCCACCAAGGGGUGAUGAUAGAUCCACCACACAAAUGAUAUCCUUGGAACUGAAGGCUGGCUUGCCAUGGCCAUUGCUGGGGCAUCGACGCAUUUCCUCCCACUAUACGGGGGGCAUACCUGGACCGAGCGCCACACGCUGUAGAAAAGGGAAAGUAGCGUCACUGGAAUCACUAGUGAGGAAUCCUUAUCUGGACGAGCUGUACAUACAGAGAUGUACCUAGGGUCCCUUGUGCAAGGAGCUGUAUUAGUGCCCCUCCUGGGGAAAAGGCCCUUUAGCACAACAGCCACGUUAGAAAGUACUAUAUUUUACACAAGUACUUGAAGUGUCCGGAGUGAGGAUGAGGUGAGGAGGAAGGGCAAAAAGUUCACACACCUUUGUGCUGCAGUGUGAGGAGGAUGGGAAACUUCUCCUGUGUUUGAUCUCACUGUGACAGUGUUGGUGCAUCACUACACACAAAUACUUCAUACACUCUAUAGUCCAAUAGGUGAUUUUUUGUGAUAAAAAAUAAACAAACCCAGGCCUGAGCCUCUAGCAGGGUCUGUUCUCGCUAACUCCUAGCUAUGUCUCUGUGCACAUAUAUUUUAAAGACCCAGUUCUUGAAUCUAAGUCAUGCUUAGAGAGACACAUAAGAAUAUUCAUGAGAAAUAUAUUGUCUUACUUUGGGGGUGUUCCCAAAUCACUCUCUCUUUUUCUCUAACUCAUCUGCCAGUUCUCGCUUGUAUAAGUUUUCUCUCCUAGUUGCUAAAUUUUUAUUUACAGAAAGGAGAUAUUUCUUAGAAUUGCUGUCAAUUUUCACUCACUGAAAGGUCUCCUGUACGUGAUUUGACCCCGGAAAUGAAUUAGAGCCACUACCAUGCUCUCAACUUGCAUAUUUCAACUUGCACAAACGAACUUUUAGCUUGCACAUUCUCCCACAAUACUUGUUGUGAAACUGAUGUUACAUUCUGCUGUUUUUCAAAGCGCUUACCCAAACAUUUUAGGAUGAUCACAUAGCCUGAGGCACACUCUUCUCUGAAAUGAAAAGAAGACAAAGUGAUAGACCUGAAUGCUUGCUACCUCUCUUUCCACUUCAUCCAUCAAAUUAAAUUGAGGUUCAAUGUGUUAAGUCUAAAAGAAAGAAAAAAGGAGCCCCUUCUUAAAAGUAUUCUUCCAGCUUCUGUUGCCUUUUCAUUUUUAUUUAAACUGUUCUAAAUGUUUUCAUAUAUGACAUAGUAUCAUUGGUGGUAUCUUUUGCUGAUAUUUAAAGAUAUGAAAUUGCUUUGAUUUAUUUUAUAAGAAGCGAUUUGUAAACAGAAUUAAAUAAAUAAACAAAGCACCCUUCCUUUGUAUUGCUAUGAGGCAAUGGUUUUGAGGGAGGGGCUCCAGGGGUCCUGUGCACUUUUCUUUCCCUUCCCACCCUCCCCCAUUGCUGCACUGGUUGUUCACUCUUAUACACACACACACACACACACACACACACACACACACGCCAGAUGGUGGUGGGAAGGGGUAAAAUGGAUCCCCAUUUCUUUCUUUUGCGACACGGCGCUGUCACGCAAGCCGACAACAUGGCAGCUCCUCCUUCUCCUGCUGCAGAGGGAAAGCAGCCCCUGGCCUAUGGGGGUGGCAGGAAGCCAAGAAACCCCUGGCCAUGGAAGCCGGGCUGCUGCGUGACACCUAGACAUGAUGUCAGCUCCCCCCCCCCAGUCACUUUCCCAAGUCAGUGUGCCUGCCUGGUAAGCUGGGGUGGGGAGGAACAAACAGACCCCCUUUUCCUUUCCACCACCCCCAAACAAAAGAAAGAAAAAGGGACCCAUUUCCCCUCCUAUUGGCAAGGUGGUAAGAUCGGAACAGUAUUCUUCAGUCACCAAAUGCCUGAGUAAACACGGAUGUUUUCCAAUACUUCCUGAAUAAUUACGGAGACAGAUGCACCUCAAAAGGGAGGGCAUUUCACCACUGGGGAAUCACCACUGAAAAGGCUCUCCCAUGGGUCUAAGGGUAUAAGAUGGUGUGUACUGCAUGGGUCUAAGGGUAUAAGAUGUUGUGUACUGCAGUCCAGCCCUACCAGCAGGACUGGGUUGGAAGAGUUUAUAUUUUAAAAUUCAUGUACGUAUCUUUCUGUAAUUUAGCAUCUGAGACAUACCGCAAGGACGUGGUGUUCUGUGGAGAUGUCAGCUGAUCGGCUGACAACCAAUGAUCUGCAGCAACAAAAUGCCUCUGAAAUGCUUCUUCAAUAGCGGUCACUGGGUAGGCCCUCGAACUCACAAAGCUGUAAAUAACAGGAAUUGCCUUGAAAAUUCAGCAACAUUCUGAACAUUUACUUCUUCUAUCACAUGGCUAGCCUACCUGGCUUGCAAAUGUUAGGUGGCUUGCUAUAAAGUUUUUUAUGGAAAUAUUGCAAAUAGUUUUAAGGAAACCCUGUAUUAAACUAAUGGAUAAUCAAUGAACACACACUAAAAUCCCACUGUGGCUUCUGAUGGAUCAUCCUGCUGUUGUUUUACUUAUCCAUUCACAUUUAUAUCCUGCCUUUCUCUCAUCAUGGAACCCAAAGCAACAUACACGUGGUUCCCUGGUGGUAUCCUAUCCAGCCGCUGACUGUCGUCAGAACAUGCCAACCUGAGGCCAACCUUCUUGCUCAUAUUGCUUGAGUAUAGCCCAGAAUUAGAGUUUGGCAUUUCCUCAAGAGGGAGUUAAUGUUUUGGAGAUAAUUGGGGAUCUCUGUAUCUGAAUGAGAUAUCAGUCAACCAGGAGUGAACAACAUGUUGCCCUCCAGAUAUUAUUGGACUAUAGCACCCAUCAUCUCUGACCAUUCACCAUGCUAACUAGAGUCCAACAAUAUCUGGAGAACUGCAGGUUGCCCAUCUCUGCUUUGUUGCUUACCACCCUCCAGCCGGGGUGUUUGUGUGCGUGAAUGAAAAAAUAGUUUGCACUAUCUGAAGGGAUGGAAUCAGAGAGCGAGCUCAAAGUUGGCUGAAGGCCCCUUGUGUUGGAAAUGUGGAACUGACAUAGGGUAGCAGGCCUGCUGGUUUUAGGGCUGUUUGCUACUUGCCUCCCCUUUGACUCUACCCUUACAUUUGUAAAUGAAACAUAGAGUCGCAAUAAGUCUCCUGUGCCAUCCUGUGUCAAAAGCAGGUGACACAGAGACAGCAACAAAAAGCCCCUGUCAGUUUCUUGGCGAAGUACUGUUAAUCCAAUUUGUUUGUUUGUUUACAACAUUUGUAUGCUAAUCACAUAACACAAAGUUAUAUUUCCAGGGGCUUUACUGAUUAAUAGUGUUUUGUAGUAAAUAUGCACUUUCUGCAAAAAUAAAAAAUAAUCAGCACUUUGCUGCAGAAACCACCUUGGUUUUUAGCACCUGGGUUGUAUUUCAGAAAGCCAGGUAUAAUGAGAGGGACUUCCCUUUUAAAGCAAGCAACAGUUUGACAUACAAAUCCUUCAUUUCCAUGUUCAUUUCCUAUGCAGUACCUUGAGAUACCUAAGUAUUUACAUGUAACUCUUCCAUAGGUUUCUUGCCAGUUUUCUGAACACACAGUCCUCCAGGCUCCGUAAGCAAACACUUGCAACACAGCCUUCUUGCCACUCAGUCUGACUGUGAGAUACAGAGAGAAAGGCCGUAAAUAGCUAAUAAGCAAAUGCUGUGACUGAAUCAGUGUACUAAUGUACUGUAUCUCUCGAGAUCCGAUGAAUUUUGGCAUUGGUUUUUGUGCAUUUGUUCCUAUUUCAUGCAAUAAAGGUAUUAUUAUUAUUAUUAUUUAUUACUUAUACUCCACCCAUCUGGCUGGGUUUCCCCAGCCACUCUGGGUGGCUUCCAACAGGAGAUUAAACAUACAUUAAAACAUCAGUCAUUAAAAACUUCCCUAAACAGGGCUUUAUAACAAAAUAGGUUAUGAAUGUAAAAUAAAAAAAUGCUAUCUUGAAAACCCAUGAAGGUUGAGAUCUCCCCCCCCCCCCUACUCUGUUCCAUAGAAGCCAAAUCCUAGGGGUCAAGGUCCCUUCACACACACCCCAAAAAUUUUUUUGAUGGGCAUUGCCAUUUAAAUGGUAUGUGCACGCCACAUCAUGUGAUCGAUUAUGGGGGACAGGCCUUACCUGGCUCUCCCAAUAUUUAUUCAAGUUGGAACGCCUGCUCUGCUCAUACUCUGCACUUGGUAAUCUUCUAGAGCAGUGCUUUCCAAAAUAUGGUACAUGUGCCCUCAGGAGCAGGCAAAGAGUUUUUGAAGGGUAAACAGCAGAAUUUGCUCUAGUUUACAAAAAACAAUACUAUUAAAACUACUCUCAAAGUAUCUUCACCUGAGAAUGGAUAUGGUUGUAAGACUAAACUCUCAAAAGCUUAUGCAAUUAUGGUAAGUUUGGGAAACAUUGUUCUAGAGAGGUAGCCAUGUCAGCCUCUCGCAGCCAAAAAAAAAAAUGUACCGUAUUGUGGUGCCUUAAAGGUUGCCUCCAGAAUUUGUCGAUGGGAUUCAAUCACAUACUGGGGUAUAAGUCUGUGUCAUUAAAAUGGAUUUAAGUUCACUGUCAAAACAAAUCUGAUUUUUUUAAAAAGCACAAAGGACUUUUGUGGCUGGGAAACUGAUAAGGAGCCACACUAAAAAGUUUGGGAUAAAUGACUGGUUGAAAGGAAACGAUUUAACCGCAAGGAAAUCAGGAUGGAUGCUUAUUGUAGUAUAACUUCCCCUCAAGCAAUUCAGCAUGAAUGUUCAAUAAAGCACAGUCAUCAUAUGACUUCUGCGUAAUCUUUGUGCGAGCAAAUCUUUGUGUGCUCAAUAAUCUGGAGAAGCCCAAAGAUAGAGAUGGGAGAUAAAUUCAAGUUUCUUUACUUUUUCAUAGAAUCAUAUCAUACAACCAUAGACUUGUAAAGUUGGAAAGGACCCCAAAGUUCAUCAAGUCCACCCCCUGUGAUUUUUAAUAAGAAAAUACAUAACUCGCACUUCUUGAACCAAUAUGUGAACCAAAACACAGCCAUUCCUCUAAAUUUGCACCUCUCCCAAUUUUGCAAUGCUGUUCUCCAAAUGAUGUGUAUACAACUGCCUAUAUUAUGGAAAACUGCAUAUAAAAAUGCAUUAGUGAAAAUAACAUGCAAAAAUACAUUUUAAUAGGGGAAACUACAUACAAAAAUGUAUUAGGAGAAAUGUGCACUGAAAUGCUGACAAAUUUCAAUGAUUAUUUUUUUAAAAUCUGCAAAUUGCUGUGGAAGUGUGGAGAAUUGGAUUUAAGAUUGGGGAAAAAUGAGAAAAGUAAGAGAAACAAAAAUUGUCAGAUUCAUCCAUCCCUACCCAAGGAAUAACACAUUUAUUUGUGGCACAGCCAUUCUGCCAUUCCGCAUAAUUUCUGUUUCUCUACAUGUGAUCAUGAGCGCUCUUGACCUAGAAAUUGCCCUCAGUGUCCUGCCAUAUUGAAAGGUAACAAUAGUAACUUCAGUUCAUGCAAAAAGAAUGCAGCAAACAAUGGUCAACCAUGUUUCGUUUGGGAAUAUUGAAUGGAAUGUUUCAAACAGAGCUUGGAUUUGGUUUUUAACAAAAAAUAUCAAAACUAAGUUUUGAGGGGAAGUAGCAUGUGUAAUCCAGAAUCAAAUCAAAGUUACCACAUCUAUACUCAUCCUCUCCAUCUCUACAGUUGAAGACUCCAUCACAUCUUGCUGUUUGGUCAAUACAUCUGAAGGACGACCUGCACCGAAAUCCCCCAAUGCAGUUGAAGUAAACUGACAGGAUGAAAGGAAAUCAUAUCAAGUUAAUACGGCAUAUCCUUGGCUUGGCAGCAAUAUUAUGAUUAUG